UACGUAGGGCGCAAGCGUUGUCCGGAAUUAUUGGGCGUAAAGAGCUCGUAGGUGGCUUGUCGCGUCGGGUGUGAAAGCUUGGGGCUUAACUCCAGGUCUGCAUUCGAUACGGGCUGGCUAGAGGUAGGUAGGGGAGAACGGAAUUCCUGGUGUAGCGGUGAAAUGCGCAGAUAUCAGGAGGAACACCGGUGGCGAAGGCGGUUCUCUGGGCAGUAACUGACGCUGAGGAGCGAAAGCGUGGGGAGCGAACAGG
rnacentral:rRNA from 1 species